rnacentral:rRNA from 1 species
UACGAAGGGGGCUAGCGUUGCUCGGAAUCACUGGGCGUAAAGGGUGCGUAGGCGGGUCUUUAAGUCAGGGGUGAAAUCCUGGAGCUCAACUCCAGAACUGCCUUUGAUACUGAAGAUCUUGAGUCCGGGAGAGGUGAGUGGAACUGCGAGUGUAGAGGUGAAAUUCGUAGAUAUUCGCAAGAACACCAGUGGCGAAGGCGGCGCACUGGCCCGGUACUGACGCUGAGGCACGAAAGCGUGGGGAGCAAACAGG